GUGGUGGUGGUGUUGGCUAUACGAUCCCACGUACGUAAUUCCUCGUUCUUGAUUCUUGAUUCUUGAUUCUUAACCUCAAAGUAAAUCUUCUCAUGAGCUCUUUUGGUUUGUUGUAGCUCGCUGUAUGGAGGUGUGGCGGAGCUUAACAGGAUAAGCGCUAUGAGGAUGGCAACGGACUAGAAAGCUCUCUCUCUAUCUACUCGAAUUCUUAUCGUGAUACAACAAUGCAACCAUUGAUUUUAUUAUUCCAGAUUUUAUUAUUCAAUCAAGCUCCUUCUUUCGCAUCCUAGAUUUUGCAAGCAGCUGCAUAAAGGGCACACAGCUUUUUUGUUAUCC
rnacentral:lncRNA from 1 species